UCAUAUUAUCUUUCGGCCCAUCUGAGCCCAUGCCCAGGAACCUGUCGUUCAAGCGUCUGAGAGUCUCUCCCCCUCCCCCGACUUCUCCAAUGUAUGAUUCUUCUCCCCGUUACCUUCUCAGUCAAUGUUAAAGCUAUUCUUCAAUGUUUUGUACCACCUCCCUUUGAUACUUCUCGUAAAUAAAGCUUUAUCACUAAACCUAAAUCCAUCCCGAAUCAAAGAACCUACUCUGCAAAAACCACAUCAGAAUGAAAUCUCACCAAGACCAGCUGAGUCAUAGAUUCGAUUUCAGAAAAGUGAUUCAUUUGCCCCAAACGACCGGGAUGGUACUUACGAAGAAUGUGCCAUGUGGCGCUGAUUUUCCCAUUGGUUUCAGAAUAAUGUAACCAAGAUUUUAGUCCAGCCGUCCAUUACCUACCUAUGUCUUUCACCUCCGUUUGCUUCUCAUGCUAUAUAAACCUCCUCUUCGAAUCUCACCUCAAUCCACUUUCUACAACCUCCAUGCAACCAAAUCAAGAAACGGCAGUGAAAUCAGAUCAAAUACUGGGCAAGUUUCCAGUGCCCCCCAUACAUUUUAACCACAUCUUUGGUACUCAGAGCUAUGAGCUGGAAAGCCAAAAGCCCUUGAACGAUGUCCUCCCCUGCUAAAUUCUGCUGCGUCCAAGUUUUCUAGAAGAAAGAUCUCACUCUUUCAGACCCUCUGCAUAAUUACUUUUACUUGGCUAGCGUAGAAGCCAAAGGACAAGUUGAUAUUCUCAUCAAUAAAUAUGCAUCUAUGCAGGUUUCUUUAUACAAAAUAUACAAAAGCAGUCUAGCUUCUAUCUUAUGGAUUUUCACCUAGGGUGGAUGGUCUAAAUUUCUCUGAAUAUGCAUUUACAUGCAUUUUAAACAAGCAUCUGGUCAUUUAACUACAUAUCAAGUUUUCACUUGGGGUGAACGGUCUACUUUCUGGAUGUGUCAUCCUCAGUUGAUAUUUUGGAGCGAUGAAUAAUUGGAAUGAUAACGAACGAACGAAUGGAAUUGAUCGAAUGAUGCACAAGAGCAGCUUGGGAUAAUGAAGCACAUUGAACUUCAGAUUUUUCUGAUAUUCAACUUUCUGAGAUUUUUUCUGCCCUCCCUUUUCAAUUUUAGCAGUUCAUGUGAUCAAUUUACGCACUUUCUCCGCAGCUUCUUUGGUCCUACUGUUUACUGAUGGAAUUUGAGAUUAGUUUUAAAUGGAAAAUUUUGUCUGUG